rnacentral:rRNA from 1 species
CACGGGGGGAGCAAGCGUUGUUCGGAAUCACUGGGCGUAAAGGGCGUGCAGGCGGUCAGGUAAGUGGGAUGUGAAAUGCCCCGGCUCACCCGGGGACCGGCAUCUCAUACUGCUUGGCUUGAGUACGGGAGAGGAUGUGGGAAUUCCUGGUGUAGCGGUGAAAUGCGUAGAUAUCAGGAGGAACACCAAUUGCGAAGGCAGCUCGCUGGGACGUGACUGACGCUGAGACGCGAAAGCGUGGGGAGCAAACAGG